UACUCUCGGGGUGCUGAAUUCUCAGCUGAGAUAAUAAACCCGUUGAACUUGAUCUGGUUAAUACCGGCGUAGGGAAGAGCAUUAUAU
rnacentral:ncRNA from 1 species